rnacentral:misc_RNA from 1 species
AUUCUCACUCUUUAGUCAAACAAAGAAAGACAAAAUAAACUGUCCUCUCUUUUUCAAAAACCCUACUUCGCCGGCGCUAUCUUGUCGGAGAAGGAGACUGUUACUGGCCGGAGGCGGUGUUAAACAAUAUGAAAGUCGUUGCUUUAGUCAGUGGUGGCAAGGACAGUUGCUAUGCCAUGAUGAAAUGCAUUCAAUAUGGUCACGAGAUUGUUGCGUUGGCUAAUUUGAUUCCUGCUGAUGAUGCAAUCGAUGAGCUUGAUAGCUACAUGUAUCAAACAGUUGGGCACCAGAUAGUUGUUAGUUAUGCUAAAUGCAUGGGACUCCCGUUAUUCCGGAGGCGAAUUCGAGGAUCCACAAGGCAUCAUGACCUAAGCUACAGUAUGACUCCGGGUGAUGAAGUUGAAGAUAUGUUUAUAUUGUUGAAAGAAGUAAAAAGACAGAUACCCUCUGUUACAGCAGUAUCUUCUGGUGCAAUUGCAUCUGACUACCAGAGAUUACGAGUGGAAAGUGUAUGUUCAAGGUUAGGGCUCGU